AGGAUCUCAUGGUGGAUAACCAUCUCCUUACCAAAACCACGUAUUCUGCUGGUUCCAUUUCCUGACCUUCCUGGAUUGGUCAGAACCUCCCAGAUGACAUUAACUAGCAACGCCCAUGAGUCUCACUGGGUAGCGCCAGAUAGUCAUGAAUUCAAGAAAGCGGUGUCAGUUCUGGAAGCUAGAUUGGCGAGCUUGCUCCCGAGGAGAUGAUCUUCCAUUGGGAGUGCAAUCCACCUGCUAUCUCUUUCUGAGGCUGUCAGUGACUGGGGAGAGGAGGGGACAGCGGAAUCAGUCCCACCCCCUAAUCACCUGAGGGUAACAUGGUGACAUCCUAAUUCUGUAUUUUUUUUCUUCAAUUUGUUGGCCAGCAUGUCUCUAAAAUGUGCAUAUUCCGAAGGUAAAUAUGAAUUUGUAAAGCUGGGGUUUCAGUCUCUUGAAGAUAUUUUUACUGUUGUUAAGAUUAUUUUCAAAGUGCUUCCUGAAUCAUUGUAUAUAAACCUUUGGGGUGACAGAAUUCUCUACACCCAGAAUUUAUCCAAAGAAGUCUGAUUCCUCUGAAGAAAACAGUAUUUGAAGACAUAGCUGGGAUACCAAUUUUUUAUCUUCAUGAAAUCAAUUAAACAGAAGUCUUUCACUGCUGUUUAUAGAAAACUUAUGUGGCUGAAUAUUUAGAUUUUCAAAGUGUGAACCCCUCUUCAGUUAGUUCACACACUAACACAUUUUUAAAUCAACGACUUUUCAAAUAUCUUUAAUGCAAAACUCCAGUUUUAAGAAUGAAUUAUCAUUAGGUUUAGGAUUUCCACAAAGGACUAUUUAAAACAACGAGCCAUCUGGAACUUAAUGGAAAAAUGCAUACAUACCUCCAUAGGGUGCAAUCUUUACAGCCAUCAGAAUGUUUAAGACAGCAUCAUUAUUUUGUUAAACAGGAAAGGUGGAUUUACAAAUUAUGCUUUUAAUCAUAUGCAUUUACCCAUAAACUGUGCCCUCAAAUCUUGACAGUGCAAAUCAGACCUCCCCUAUCUCACUCCUGGCCACCCAUUUCCAUUUUUGUUUAGAAUUUGGUGUCUCUAGAUUUGCUACACCAGACAGGACUCCUCUGCCUGCUUCACAGUUGUCAAAAAUAUGUUCUUGUUCCCAUGCUUUUCAUUUCAUCUGUUCUUUGUUGGACUAGCCCUCCCAUUUUCAUGGGGAUUUCAGGACAGAGAGAAGGUAAUAAACACUGCAUUCAACCUUCUUAUAUUUUAUCUAGUGCCCAGUUGCUUUUUAAUUCUGAAAAACUUAGCAACUGUAAAACAUACAAUUUCUGAUAGAAAUAGCAAUACGUACAUAUCUUAAAUCACAAAGCAUACAGGAACAUAGAGUACAAAGGUUCGAUCUGUGUCUUAAUAAAAAGAGUUGGCUCUAGAAACAGUACUGAAAAAGUUAAACUGGUAGUAAAUGCGGAAAGGGAAUCAAGUGCAAGUCUUUAUUUUUGUUGUUGCUGUUGUGGCUUUCCUGUUUUGAAACUUGUCUGCUCUGUUGCCCAGGCUGGCUUCUCUGGAAACAAGCAAUCCUGCCUCAGCCUCCCAAGUAGUUGGGACUACUGGUAAAUGUGCUGUACCUGCUUAGUAGUUUUUAAUUGAGAAUCAAAAAUGCUAACACCAAAGCUGCACUCUGGGUUUUUGCUUCUGACACAGAAGUUUCCCCCGAUAAUUCUUAACAGCAUUACUGACCCCUCUAAUGAUGAACUAUCCUCACCAGCUGCUUUUAACUAGCAUCUUCCUUGCUCUCUCAGUUUGUUUCCUGACCCUUUAAAUAUGGAAGAUGCCUGUCUCCCUUUUACCAGUGAAGACAGGCAGCCUAUGUUCUCAAUGCGUUGGCUGUUUUGAUGCUCAGAGACCUCAAAUUAGAAAUACUAUAUGAGAACUUAAGAAUUUUCCAAGAACAAGUAUACACACCUCACAGCCACCAAAAAUACCAGGUUGAAAACAGCAAUUGGGUCUUAAAAUGCAAUAGCUGCCCAAGAUGGGACUUAGGAAUAGAAAACUUGGCUCAGUUUGUGCAAAAUCUUUUCUUUCAUAGAGAACAAAGUACUGAAGAUAAUGAAAAGCCAAGACUAAUCUUAAAAAGCUAUUUUUUCCUUAAAUAAAUCCUUCCCUGACCUGCACAUUGCCUAGUGCUAUGGAAAUCACUAAAUUCUGAAACUGUAAUGAUUUGUUUAUAAACUGGUGUCAAAAUUUAGAAAACUACACCAAAAUAAAUUCCAAACCAAAUUUAAGCAGCAGUACAUAAAGCACCAAAUUUGUAAUUACCUGGGAGUUGGUGAAAAUUACCAGUUUCAUGGAAAAAACAAAGCAGUUUCCCCCUCCAAUUAUUAGUAUUAAGUAAUUCUACUGUGAAAGUAUUAGGUGGGCACAGGUGCAGAUGCCCCUGAUUCCAGCACUUGGAAGGCAGAGGCAAGGGGUGGUGAGUUCAAGGCCAGCUACACAGCGAAACCUCUAUUUUAAAACCAAAAUAAAUAAUAUUUAUUAUGUAAUAGAUCCAAUCAUCUAUAGCUAGUCUUAAUUUUAAAAAGGAAUUUGGGGCAUAUUAUUCCACGAAGAGCACUACUUUAUGUACAAAAUAAUUUCUUUUGUAAGUAACACUAUGAUAUCAAUUCUCUACAAUAAAUCUGACAAGAUAGGAAAAUAUUAGUUCAAAAUUUCAAAUAUAUCUCCAUUAGACCAGGUUUUAUUUUGUGUAGUAGCACUCGGGAAGUGCUAUGAAUUGAAGAUGCAGUCCAUGUGCAUUCCAGGCAAUUAAUCUACCAGGAUUGUUCAGAGAUCUUGCAUGUAGCCCAGGUUGGCCUUUAACUCCCUGAAUCCUACUUUAGCCUCUGCAGUACUGAGAUUAUAGAUGUGCACUCCCAUACCCAGAUAAAUUAGACAUUAAUAAGGCACUUAGCAUGCAGAACAUUGGACACAGAAAGAAGACUGCAGGUUUCCAGUUAGGCUCAGCUCUUCACUAAGACAAGUCCUGGAGACUGACUACAGUGAAAAGCAGUGCUGCUGAGUGACUUUUAAUUGUGUGUAUGUGACAGUGAUCCCCAACAGGACUGCUCAUUGUGUGUAUGUGACAGUGAUACCCAACAGGACUGCUCAUUGUGUGUAUGUGACAGUGAUACCCAACAGGACUGCUCGUUGUGGCUCUUCCCUGUGAGCAAGGAUGCCUGCACUCGCAGGAGGAGACACCGUUCUGCUGAGCAGUCUUUCACUCAGUAGGGCAACUGCCUCUGACAGUUCUCUGAGUUCAAAGAGAGAACAGACCCGUCAAAUUGAUUUCAUCAAGUCUAUUUAUUAAUGCAUUUCAAGUUUCAAAAAACCUUACAUCUUUGCACAAUACUUUAUUUUUUGCAGGUUUUAGUAAAAAUUUCCAAAGUGAACAAAAAAAAGAUACUGUAUAAAACACAGUGGACAUUAAACUGACAGUAGUAUUAGAUCUCACUGGUCCUGAUCCUUUCAUUUUUACCACAUCUUAAUUUGCAGUGGAAACAGUUCAGUGCAUGUAUCUCUUCAGAAAACAUUUAACUUAGACUCAAAAUAAAACAAGGCAGUGUACAACUGCCAAAAUCCUACCACAGGAUAACAUUACAAGCAAAAAAUGUACAUGUUCCAAAGUCUACCACACUCAAGAAGUUACUAAGAACUCUUGCAGAAUAAAAGUCACCAUUUUAGAAAUGCAAACCCACUUCCAACCUUUGCACAGUCCAAAAACAAAGGCAUUUGAAUGAUUUAAAGCAGUGUCAUACACAGCUACCUACUUGUUGGGUUAGAAUUAUUUAUAGUCUAUCUGGGGUUUUUCAUGUACAAAAUUUGUCUCUAAAUCAUGUACAAAAAGCUGUUUUGAAAAAAGUCACCACGUACUGUACAAGUUUACAAGGAGAGAUCCCAUUGUUUCUCUAGCGUUUUUGGCCUUGCUGGCUCGCGUCACAUUAUGAGUGAUUGUGUAAACCUUAGACUCUUAAGAAAAAAGAAAAAGAAAAAAGAAAAGAAAGCCGAACACAGUAAUCUUGUCAACCUUCCCUAAAUUUGCCUCCUAUGUAAAGCCAGGAAAAUCACUGCUGUUGACUUCUAAUUUAAGUGAUGUGGCUGGAAAACAGAAGCAAUGAAUAUGUCACAAGCUUACAGUUUUUAAUGCCCCCUCCAUUUUCUGCAUAGCGAUAAGCCUGUUAAUACAUUAAAUGCUUUUGCUUUCUCUUUCUUUAUAAAUGCCAAUUAUUUAUAUCUGCUUUAAAAAGAAGUUUGUAAUGGGACACUGUGCUGUCUACCUUUAUUGUUGUUAAAUGGCUUACGGGUUGGAAAAACAAUGUCAGAAGGCCUAUCUACAAUUUCAACUACCUGCCAAGCAAAUUACUAAUUUCUAGUGGUUACCAAUGAUCAGUGAUGGUGUGCUAAAGAAUGGUCCAAAUAUUUCAAUGAAGACACUGAUUUUCUUUUCCAUAUCAGAUAAAAACUUUAAGUAUAUGGAAUACACAAAGGAAUAAGCAGGCCACAAAUGAAAAUAAUUAUUUCUGACAUAAUUCUUACCAAGGCAUCAAGGCAUGAAUAAAAUUUCACCUAACAAUUUAAAAAGGGAAUUGAAUUAGGAAGUGUAAAAUACUAAGCAGAAACCAAACAUUUACAUAAAGAACUGACUCUGAAGCCAAAUGCUGUUGCUGUCCAGUUCACACUCCGAUCAGCCGUGUUCUUCAGCACAGUCUUUCCUGCUCACAACAGCCAUGCGACAAGACAAAAAGAUGUAUGUAAGAACCAACUCCAUCGUAAGAAAAGGGAAAAUGAUUCUAUUUCAAAACUGCCCAUGUGAAGCAUUACAGAAUCCUGGACCACUGAACACCACCAUUCUCUGUUAUCCUGAGUAUGUCAAUUAAACAGUAAUUUUUCAUUAAGAGCGGGAAAAAUUUAUAAUACAAAGAAACAUCCAUAUUGCAAUUUCUGUUUACAAUUGCACAGAGAAGUACAGUGUACGUAAGAAAUACAUGUCUGCAUAUAACAAGGUAUGUACAUUGGCAAGUGAUAUAUCCAAUGUUGAGGUGGUCGAGCCUCCCAGCCUUGAUUGGCAGUUGAAAAAAAUAUAUUUCGAUUUGUGAUAAAAGUUCAUCGAGAGCCAAGUCUGUCUGCAAUGAAGAAAAUGCAGCAACGAAGAACAGGGAACACGGGGCACAUAAUAAUAUUCUAAGACUUUGUGCCAUUAGGUUAAAAAUAUCUGUCCAUAAGAAAAUUGGGUUCCUUUUCCAUCCACCCCCCCCAAAAUUGGAAUUUUCAGGCUUUAAAUUUUAAGUAAUUCCACCUGGUCUGAGGACAUGAUCUCUUGCCAUUUUUCUUCAACUAUGAACUGUGAGGGUUUCGUCUGGAGAUGAUGACUUAACAGGUUUCUCUUUGGAGUGAAGUUUUCCCACUGUAGGCACUAGGAAGAACCAAGGCAAAAGCUGCAGUUAGCGUCGCAUGUGUCCCAUUUGAUAACUCUCCCGGGGCCUCUGACGCGGGGGCUGCUGAAUGGGUUGCGGCGGUCUCCUCCUCUUUAAAGUGCCUGUAACGAAAGCAAAACAGUUUAUUGUUCAUCACCUCCUAAAAGCAAGAAAAAUUAUUCUUUGUGAC